UUUCUUCAAUUAAGGCAGGAAGAAAGCAGUUCCCAUGGCAGUGCUUUUAAGGAGCAGUAAGGGCACCUGUAGCCCCUUGAGAGCUUUGAUCCAAGGAGCAUUAGCAGGAGUGCAGAGGGUUAUGGCAGAAGCUCUGUCAUUUUCAACAAUGGAAACUCACAAGGAGUACACCCACAAGGGAGCAAGAAGGAAGGAGAAUGCUCUCAGUAUGCCUUAUUCCAGGGGAAAAAAAAAUGAACUGUUUCUCUCUUCUGUAUGUGGAGCAUUGCUGAGCAUACUCUCGGCUGUAAUCAAACUAUGUCUGUUAAAAGAAAUGACACAAGAAAAUCAUGUGUGUGAUUCUAAGAUCUCCUGGUCAUUUGGGGAUAAUUUGUACAAAGACUUUUACCAACCGCAUAUAAAAGACUCACUCUGUGGAAGUUAUGGAGACACGGCCAUCGCAUCAGUGCAGUUCCAUGAUUUACAAGAUGAAAUGCUCAUUCUGGGGAAUGUGCCAUAAUUUUUAAUAAAAACAAUUAUGAAAUGGAGUUGCUGCCAAGCAAAGCAUUACCAGGGCUGCCAGGAAGUCUUCUGGGGUGCCAGCCCAAAAGAAAACCAGGCAGGGUUUAAGUGUGGCUGGUAAGGAUGGUUGCUUCAGCUCUCUGGUGGAUUUGCACAGGAAUUCCAGCAGAUUGGGGUACUUUUUCACUGAAUUUGAAAAUUUCCAAUGGGGGAAAAAAGAAAUCCGUCUGAAAAUUUCCAGCCUUGUACUACUCUACUUUCCACAGCAGCUGUGGGCAUCUCCUCCUCUGCAUGUUUCGAGGUAAGAAAGGAAAAGAACAUUUUCUAUGCAGGACUCUGCAAUUCACAAAUGGUAGUGACAAACCUGAUCUGGGGACAGGAAAAACAAUGAUGUGCGUGGCUAUCAUGGCUUUCCCCCCGGCGCUCUUUAUUUUCUGCUCUAAUGCGGACCCAUCGUCAUACCUGGUAUGGGGAGAAAUCUCCAGUGACAGCCUCUUGCACUUGAGGAUAUCCAGAGAAAUAAAAACCAGGCUCCUACAGCACAGGAAGUACGUCAGCAUUUUUCAAAUCUGCAACAAGUGCAGUGCAGCAGCUCAGGCCCAGCCCUCAAGCAGUGGCAGCUGGACACCAAAUGGCCUCAAACCAAGUCUUGCCCAAUGCUUUCUUCAGCUCAGAGCUCUCGCUGUGCAUGUCAAACAUGUUUCUUCUAUAGAGAGUCAAGCAGAGUUAGCAGCAAGAAACCCUGCCAUCAGUUUCUGAGUUUACCAGUGGCCGCUCUGCCCCGUGUGCUGGCUUUUUUAUCUCCCUUCCCAAAGCACCACUGAAGCUGUGUUGUCAAAUGACUGAUUGAGUCCAGCAUGCUUAUGUGAUAAGCUACCUGGCCCCUGUUCUAUCUUGACAGCUUAUGUUACACAACAUGAUUUUUUUCCCCUCUGCAUCUUGAAAAGGAAGAUCAGUGUUGAAGAGAAUUUUAAAUUGGCUCACGCUGCAGUGUAGAUUUCAUUACCUACAUAUUGAUCCUCAAGGUGCAUAGUAAUUCUCUGCCUAACGUUACUGGAAUUUUUUGCAUCUUUUCUAGGAACUAAGUAUUGAUCCCUGGAAAAUGAGCAACAAUUAAAAUAAAAUAUAGAUAACUACAAUCCCAGUGGUCACAUUGAAGGGGGAAAUGCUUCAUUCACACCUCCUAAGAGCAUUCAGAACAUGAGUGGAGGGCAGAUUUCUUCCUUCAUCUCUGAUAAAUGGUAUCCAUAAAGUAAUGGCUUUUAAACUUCCUAGGAUUAGUCUACAGUCAAAUUAUUCUUGUGUGACCAAACCAGCUGUAAGAUGAAGUGCUCUUUCCUAUCACGUGAAGCCACUUUCACUACUUAAAAGUUGUUCUUCUGUAUUCCAGCCUCAAUCUGUUACCUAGUAAUUUAAUCUUAAAUGAAGUAUGGGAAAUAGAAACCAUUUUAGAGUCCAUAUUUAGAUAAAAACAGGAUAUGCCAUAAAUGACACCAACACAACUCCAUACAACUCCAUAUAC
rnacentral:lncRNA from 7 species